rnacentral:pre_miRNA from 1 species
CAACUAAUCCCUCUGUCCCAAAUUUCUUGUCUUAGAUUUGUCUAGAUACGGAUGUAUCUAAUACUAAAAUGUGACUUGAUACAUCCGUAUCUAGACAAAUCUAAGACAAGAAUUUUGGGACGGAGGGAGUAGUUU